GAGCCCAGGGAGCGAAGAUAGAGGCCAAACUGGCCCAAAAACAGGUGCACCUUGUAGUAGCUUGGACAUCAGCAGGAACCGGAAACAUAGAAUGUGAUGGCAGAUAAGAACCAUUCAGCCCAUCUAGUCUAUCCAAUUUUCUAAAGACUUUAAUUAGUUUCUGGCCUUAUCUGAUAUCUAGGUUAUCCUUAUGCCAAUUCCACGCAUGCUUAAACUCCCUCACUGUGUUAACC